rnacentral:piRNA from 1 species
UAUUGUGGUGCAAUUGGUUAGCCUGUGAUGUC